AUUGAACGCUGGCGGCAUGCCUUACACAUGCAAGUCGAACGGCAGCAUGAUCUAGCUUGCUAGAUUGAUGGCGAGUGGCGAACGGGUGAGUAGUACAUCGGAACGUGCCCUGUAGUGGGGGAUAACUAGUCGAAAGAUUAGCUAAUACCGCAUACGACCUGAGGGUGAAAGUGGGGGACCGCAAGGCCUCGCUAUAGGAGCGGCCGAUGUCUGAUUAGCUAGUUGGUGAGGUAAAGGCUCACCAAGGCGACGAUCAGUAGCUGGUCUGAGAGGACGAUCAGCCACACUGGGACUGAGACACGGCCCAGACUCCUACGGGAGGCAGCAGUGGGGAAUUUUGGACAAUGGGCGAAAGCCUGAUCCAGCAAUGCCGCGUGUGUGAAGAAGGCCUUCGGGUUGUAAAGCACUUUUGUCCGGAAAGAAAUGGCUCUGGUUAAUACCUGGGGUCGAUGACGGUACCGGAAGAAUAAGGACCGGCUAACUACGUG
rnacentral:rRNA from 1 species